rnacentral:rRNA from 1 species
GACGAACGCUGGCGGCGUGCCUAAUACAUGCAAGUAGAACGAGUGGCGGACGGGUGAGUAAUGUCUGGGAAACUGCCCGAUGGAGGGGGAUAACUACUGGAAACGGUAGCUAAUACCGCAUACCAUCGGAUGUGCCCAGAUGGGAUUAGCUAGUAGGUGGGGUAACGGCUCACCGAGGGGACGAUCCCUAGCUGGUCUGAGAGGAUGACCCGCCCCCCUGGACCUGAGCCACGGUCCAGACUCCUCCGGGAGGCAGCAGUGGGGAAUUUUGCACAAUGGGCGCAAGUCUGCUGCAGCAAUGCCGCGUGUAUGAAGAAGGCCUUCGGGUUGUAAAGUACUUUCAGCGAGGAGGCGUUACUCGCAGAAGAAGCACCGGCUAACUCCGUGCCAGCAGCCGCGGUAAUUC